AGGGCACCACCAGGAGUGGAGCCUGCGGCUUAAUUUGACUCAACACGGGAAAACUCACCCGGCCCGGACACUGGAAGGAUUGACAGAUUGAGAGCUCUUUCUUGAUUCAGUGGGUGGUGGUGCAUGGCCGUUCUUAGUUGGUGGAGUGAUUUGUCUGGUUAAUUCCGAUAACGAACGAGACUCUAGCCUACUAAAUAGAUCGUCGGCUUACAAACGCCGGCGAGACUUCUUAGAGGGACAGGCGGUGAUUCAACCGCACGAAACAGAGCAAUAACAGGUCUGUGAUGCCCUUAGAUGUCCGGGGCCGCACGCGCGCUACACUGAAGUGAUCAGCGUGCUUUUUCAACCUACUCUGUCAAGAGUGGGGAACCCAAUGAACCUUCUUCGUGAUUGGGAUAGGGGAUUGUAAUUAUUCCCCUUGAACGAGGAAUUCCCAGUAAGCGCGAGUCAUAAGCUCGCGUUGAUUACGUCCCGGCCCUUUGUACACACCGCCCGUCGCUACUACCGAUUGAAUGUUUU
rnacentral:rRNA from 1 species